UUCUUUUUCGAAUCGUAGCGGAAAAUUUAUUCGAAAUUUUUUGAAUUGAAAAGUUGUAUUUUGAAAUGAAAAUAUUUCUGGAUACUUUCAACACAGUUAAUAAUAAGAGGAAAAAGAUGGAGAAAUACGUUGUUAUUGAUAUUGAUAUUCUCAUGUUUAUUUGAAAAAAAGUUAUUUUUCUCUAUUUUCCAUUCCAAUUUUAUUUUCUAUUCAAUCAAACCAGAUUCAGCUCCGUUAUAUUGUGAUUCGUCAUUAAAAUACGUUUUGUUCUCAAUAUUUUCAAACAUUUUCCAAGCAAAUGAGGAAAACAAUGCAAAUAUGUGAAAUGGUAAUUAUGCAAUUUUGCCGUCAGAGGGUUGCACGCGACGAUCAACUGCGAUAAAUUAUCUGUCAUUCAGUGGUGGUAUUGCUGUUCGAUUUCAUGAGCAAUGCUCAUUGAGCAUUUGUUCAUUUGAAUCAUUUCUUAUUGGGACGGCGCAUCAUUCGGUUCGUUCACUGUGAAAAUUCACUUCAGCAUCCACAUUUUGUCUUCAACGAAUUUCGUCAUCGUACAUUGAACACAAUGUCUUCGCGUGAUCAUUGGGACACCCUCAAAGCCUACAAGGAAAUGGACAGACAGGAUCGAGAAGCCGCAAAAACGAGUUCGGUUCCAGAAUACCAAAGAACCGGCGUUGUGGACAUUAGCUCACGCGGAUCCGGAGGAUACUCGCAAAGUUCGGGCAAUUCGGGCAAUUCCAAUUCGAACCAAGGCUCGUACAGAUCCAAAUGAAAAGAAAGACAAGAAACCAAAUGUCCUACAAAAAUUACGCACUUUCCGAUUUCAAAGUCGUUGAUUCAAGAAAUGUGAAUAAAAUACAAUUCGGUUUUUUAUUUGUCAUGACCAAAACUUGA